rnacentral:rRNA from 1 species
GGGAGUGGCGGGCGUGCUAUACAUGCAAGUCGAGCGGACAGAAGGGAGCUUGCUCCCGGAUGUUAGCGGCGGACGGGUGAGUAACACGUGGGUAACCUGCCUGUAAGACUGGGAUAACUCCGGGAAACCGGAGCUAAUACCGGAUAGUUCCUUGAACCGCAUGGUUCAAGGAUGAAAGACGGUUUCGGCUGUCACUUACAGAUGGACCCGCGGCGCAUUAGCUAGUUGGUGAGGUAACGGCUCACCAAGGCGACGAUGCGUAGCCGACCUGAGAGGGUGAUCGGCCACACUGGGACUGAGACACGGCCCAGACUCCUACGGGAGGCAGCAGUAGGGAAUCUUCCGCAAUGGACGAAAGUCUGACGGAGCAACGCCGCGUGAGUGAUGAAGGUUUUCGGAUCGUAAAGCUCUGUUGUUAGGGAAGAACAAGUGCAAGAGUAACUGCUUGCACCUUGACGGUACCUAACCAGAAAGCCACGGCUAACUACGUGCCAGCAGCCGCGGUAAUACGUAGGUGGCAAGCGUUGUCCGGAAUUAUUGGGCGUAAAGGGCUCGCAGGCGGUUUCUUAAGUCUGAUGUGAAAGCCCCCGGCUCAACCGGGGAGGGUCAUUGGAAACUGGGAAACUUGAGUGCAGAAGAGGAGAGUGGAAUUCCACGUGUAGCGGUGAAAUGCGUAGAGAUGUGGAGGAACACCAGUGGCGAAGGCGACUCUCUGGUCUGUAACUGACGCUGAGGAGCGAAAGCGUGGGGAGCGAACAGGAUUAGAUACCCUGGUAGUCCACGCCGUAAACGAUGAGUGCUAAGUGUUAGGGGGUUUCCGCCCCUUAGUGCUGCAGCUAACGCAUUAAGC